AUUGAACGCUGGCGGCAUGCUUUACACAUGCAAGUCGAACGGCAGCACGGGGGCAACCCUGGUGGCGAGUGGCGAACGGGUGAGUAACACAUCGGAACGUGUCCAGUUGUGGGGGAUAACCCAUCGAAAGGUGGGCUAAUACCGCAUGAGCUGGCAACAGGAAAGCGGGGGACCCGCAAGGGCCUUGUGCGAUUGGAGCGGCCGAUGUCCGAUUAGCUAGUUGGUGGGGUAAAGGCCUACCAAGGCUUCGAUCGGUAGCUGGUCUGAGAGGAUGAUCAGCCACACUGGGACUGAGACACGGCCCAGACUCCUACGGGAGGCAGCAGUGGGGAAUUUUGGACAAUGGGGGCAACCCUGAUCCAGCCAUGCCGCGUGAGUGAAGAAGGCCUCGGUGUAAGA
rnacentral:rRNA from 1 species